GUUUGAUCCUGGCUCAGAGCGAACGCUGGCGGUGUGCCUAAUACAUGCAAGUCGAACGAGAAAGAGACUUCGGUCUCAAGUAAAGUGGCGUACGGGUGAGUAACACGUAGGUAAUCUACCUUAAAGUCUGGAACAACUUGCCGAAAGGCGAGCUAAUACCAGAUAUUCCGAAAUAUUCAUAAAGAAUAAUUCGAUAAAGGGAGCUGGCAACAGCCUCCGCUUUAAGAUGAGCCUGCGCCUCAUUAGUUUGUUGGUAGGAUAAAAGCCUACCAAGACUAUGAUGAGUAGCUGGUCUGAGAGGAUGAUCAGCCACACUGGAACUGAAACACGGUCCAGACUCCUACGGGAGGCAGCAGUAGGGAAUAUUGCGCAGUGGACGAAGGUCUGACGCAGCAACACCGUGUGAGUGAAGACGGCCUGUGGGUUGUAAAGCUCUGUCGAGUGGAACGAAAAGUCUAAAAGUUAAUAGCUUUUAGAUCUGACGGUACCACUAAAGGAAGCACCGGCUAACUCCGUGCCAGCAGCCGCGGUAAUACGGAGGGUGCAAGCGUUGCUCGGAGUUACUGGGUGUAAAGGGUAGAUAGGUGGUUUUGCUUGUCUAGGGUGAAAUCCCUGAGCUUAACUCAGGACGUGCCUUAGAAACGGCAAAACUAGAGUCUUGGAGAGGGUCGCGGAAUUUCCGGUGUAGCGGUGAAAUGCGUAGAUAUCGGAAAGGACNNACAGAGCGAAAAGCGCGAUCUGGACAAGUACUGACACUCAGCUACGAAAGCGUGGGGAGGCAAACAGAUUAGAUACCCUGGUAGU
rnacentral:rRNA from 1 species